rfam:Acidovorax sp. RAC01, complete genome.
CGCGUUUUUCGCCCAGGCGGAGCUCGACCGCCGCCUGAAGUCUUGAAGACCUUCAUCGACCAGCAUCGCAAUGCUUUCGGGGUCGAGCCGCUCUGCAAGGUUCUGCAGGUUGCCCCG